GAUUCUGGCUCAGGAUGAACGCUGGCGGCGUGCCUAAUACAUGCAAGUCGAGCGAGAAUCAGUGAAGCAGAGAUUCGUCAAAGCGGAUCUGAGGAAAGCGGCGGACGGGUGAGUAACGCGUAGGCAACCUGCCCUUAGCAGAGGGAUAGCCAUUGGAAACGAUGAUUAAAACCUCAUAAUGCUGUUUUUACACAUGUAGAGACAGCCAAAGAUUUAUCGGCUAAGGAUGGGCCUGCGUCUGAUUAACUAGUUGGUGAGGUAACGGCUCACCAAGGUGACGAUCAGUAGCCGACCUGAGAGGGUGAUCGGCCACAUUGGAACUGAGACACGGUCCAAACUUCUACGGAAGGCAGCAGUAAGGAAUCUUGCACAAUGGGGGAAACCCUGAUGCAGCAACGCCGCGUGAACGAUGAAGGCCUUAGGGUUGUAAAGUUCUGAUCUGUGGGAAGAAGAAGUGACGGUACCACAGGAGAAAGCCCCGGCUAAAUACGUGCCAGCCGCCGC
rnacentral:rRNA from 1 species